GGAUUAGCUCAGCCGGUAGAGCAGCUCAUUCGUAAUGAGCAGGUCGUGGGUUCGAGUCCCAUUUCC
rnacentral:tRNA from 1 species